GCCUUCGUGGUAUAGUGGUCAACACGCUGGGCGCGUAUUCCAGAGGUCCGUGGUUCGAGUCCCGGCGAAGGCA
rnacentral:tRNA from 1 species